rnacentral:rRNA from 1 species
GUGGGGAAUUUUGCGCAAUGGGCGAAAGCCUGACGCAGCAACGCCGCGUGAGUGAUGAAGGCUUUCGGGUCGUAAAGCUCUGUCGAGGGGAAAGAAGUGUAUUGUGGUUAAUACCCAUGAUACUUGACGGUACCCCUAAAGGAAGCACCGGCUAACUCCGUGCCAGCAGCCGCGGUAAUACGGGGGGUGCAAGCGUUGUUCGGAAUUAUUGGGCGUAAAGCGCGUGUAGGCGGUUUGAUUAGUCUGAUGUGAAAGCCCUGGGCUCAACCCAGGAAGUGCAUUGGAAACUGUCAGACUUGAAUACGGGAGAGGGUAGUGGAAUUCCUAGUGUAGGAGUGAAAUCCGUAGAUAUUAGGAGGAACACCGGUGGCGAAGGCGGCUACCUGGACCGAUAUUGACGCUGAGACGCGAAAGCGUGGGUAGCAAACAGGAUUAGAAACCCUAGUAGUCC